GCUGUUCAGAGAGGCGAAUCAGAUAUGAACCACGUUCAAAUCAUUGCCUCUGUUUGCCAGUAGUGCGAGGGAACGUCGCCACCGAGGUCCGGAUGCUUAAAGUUUUUAUCGAGCACAGGUUCAGAUGCUGCAGCCUGGACACAAACACCAGCUCACACCUUAAAAAGCAAACAGAGGCCUGGACUACGAAGGGAGUUUAACCCACUCUGAUUUAACUCGGGUUAUCAAGGAAUGUCGGGGUUGACAGACGUCGGCUGCCUACUGACGGUGAAGAUGUCCGUAAGUUGAGUGUCUCCACUUCACGUCCACGAUCAGAGAAUCUUUGAACAAUGAAGGAAUUGUUUAGACCAGGACAGAGGCCUCCAGAAUUCAAAGUUCAACCAUUAAAUCACAGAGAGAAGAGACAGACAUGAAGAUGUUUCCAGAAGGUCUCUGAAACGCCACCAGUGCCGUCAGUUUCACAAGAACAGCUUCUGACGUCGCGUAUCGAUGGUUAUCCCGUAACGUCACGGAGUCAAGAGCGCUUGGACAGGUGUUCACAGAACCUGUAAACCAAAGCUGGGGCUCUCGCACUUUGUCUGCAUCAGAUAACGACGACGAGGUGGAGAAGAUACAGCAGCUGACCGUAUCCAAACACACGGACAGAGGAGCGCUCUGUAGACCAUCUGUCGCAGCAAACAGGUUCAGAUGCUGCAGCCUGGACACAAACACCAGCUCCCACCUUAAAAACCAAACAGAGGCCUGGACUACGAAGGGAGUUUAACCCACUCUGAUUUAACUCGGGUUAUCAAGGAACGUCGGGGUUGACAGACGUCGGCUGCCUCGAUCUGCGUUAACUACGGCGACGGUGAAGAUGUCAGUAAGUUGAGUCAGUGUCGACUCAAUUCUCCGAUGAAGAGCGCACGUUAAAUCUGUGGGUUUACGAGGAAUUUAAAGAGACUCUAACGACACAAUGUAAAACCGCAGCUGUCAACAAAGCCAGGGAGACUGGUCACACGUUCUCUGGAUUCUUAAUCUGUAAUAUGAGCUGUAAGGACACAGAAAAUAGAGAAGAGACAGACAUGAAGAUGUUUCCAGAAGGUUUACUGGUUCAGCUGCUGCAGCCUGGACACAAACACCAGCUCCCACCUUAAAAACCAAACAGAGGCCUGGACUACGAAGGGAGUUUAACCCACUGUGAUUUAACUCGGGUUAUCAAGGAACGUCAGGGUUGACAGACGUCGGCUGCCUCGAUCUGCGUUAACUACGGCGACGGUGAAGAUGUCAGUGUCUCCACUUCACGUCCACGAUCAGAGAAUCUUUGGACAAUGAAGGAAUUGUUUAGACCAGGACAGAGGCCUCCAGAAUUCAAACUUCAACCAUUCAAUCACAGAGAGAAGAGACAGACAUGAAGAUGUUUCCAGAAGGUCUCUGAAACGCCACCAGUGCUGUCGCAUAUCUCCUAACGCCAGGGAGUCAAGAGCGCUCGGACAGGCGUUCACACUUUGUCUGCUUCAGAAUCACUUCUGUGUCCGACUGACCCUCUUCCCACUGAAAUCAACACGACUCAACUCUACUGUGACAUUGAGUAUUUUUAAGUGUUUAUGAUUGUUAUGCUUUACUGUAUUAUGACAUUUUUGACUGUUGUUCACUGUUUUGUAUGUCUUUUUAUUGUGUGACAAUAAAUUGUGUGUGUAUUGUGUUUCCUGUUAGGAAGAGAUAGCAGAGGAAUGAGAGUAAAGGGAUGGGACAUGCUUUGGCCCAGCCCUUUACUCAGAUAGGACAGUGUAGAUGAGCAUGGGAAUAACAUGCAAUAAACAC